rnacentral:lncRNA from 1 species
GUCUCCAACGUAUCUAUAAUUUUUGAUGGUUUCAUGCUAUUAUCUUGUCAAACUUUGGAUGUUUUGUAUGCCUUUUAUAUCUUUUUCGGGACUAACUUAUUAACUCAGUGCCAAGUGCCAGUUCUUGUUUUUUCCGUGUUUUUGACCCUUUUCAGAGGAGGAUUUUAAACGGAGUCCAAAUGGAACGAAACUUCCAAAAAG